rnacentral:rRNA from 1 species
GACGAACGCUGGCGGCGUGCUUAACACAUGCAAGUCGAACGGAAAGGCCCUGCUUUUGUGGGGUGCUCGAGUGGCGAACGGGUGUGUAACACGUGAGUAACCUGCCCUUGACUUUGGGAUAACUUCAGGAAACUGGGGCUAAUACCGGAUAGGAGCUCCUGCUGCAUGGUGGGGGUUGGAAAGUUUCGGCGGUUGGGGAUGGACUCGCGGCUUAUCAGCUUGUUGGUGGGGUAGUGGCUUACCAAGGCUUUGACGGGUAGCCGGCCUGAGAGGGUGACCGGCCACAUUGGGACUGAGAUACGGACCAGACUCCUACGGGAGGCAGGAGUGGGGAAUAUUGCAAAAUGGGCGGAAGCCUGAUGCAGCAACGCCGCGUGCGGGAUGACGGCCUUCGGGUUGUAAACCGCUUUCGCCUGUGACGAAGCGUGAGUGACGGUAAUGGGUAAAGAAGCACCGGCUAACUACGUG